rnacentral:lncRNA from 1 species
AUUCUUUUAUAAGCAGAUCUGGAUGAUAUUACACAUGUUGGAGCUAAUAAUUUCAUGGAUAAUUUCCUACAUCUCCAUUAUGACCAGGAUAUGCAUAAGGAGGGUCAUAAGCCUGUCGGAAAAGUUUUCGUCCUGCGCCAUAGCAAUAAAAUUAAGUGAAUAUUAUGAAUUACUCCGUUGUGUAUUAAUUAAUGAAACAAGAAGGUGAAAAAAAAUCAUAGAUGCAUGUAUGGUUAAUUAAUAUUUUGAAAAAUUAGUGUAUGAAAUGAUUCUCACAAUUUUAAAUAAAAUUAUAUAAACAAAAACAUACCAAGUUUGACGUUAGAUUGGGCAGCAAUUGCCAUAAUAGAUGACAUGAUGAGUAGUAAAAGUAUUGCUAAAAGAGCAACAAAUGACUUCAAUUUGUAGAGAGGUGCCAUAUUUUUCUAACAAAAAUAAAAUCUAUUUAUAUAUGUAGUUAAUAUUAAUUGCAAGUUUAGGAUG